UGGGGAAUUUUGGACAAUGGGCGCAAGCCUGAUCCAGCCAUGCCGCGUGAGUGAAGAAGGCCUUCGGGUUGUAAAGCUCUUUCGGUGGGGAAGAAAUUGCAUGGGUUAAUACCCUGUGUAGAUGACGGUACCUGGAGAAGAAGCACCGGCUAACUACGUGCCAGCAGCCGCGGUAAUACGUAGGGUGCGAGCGUUAAUCGGAAUUACUGGGCGUAAAGCGUGCGCAGGCGGUUGGGUAAGUCAGAUGUGAAAUCCCCGGGCUCAACCUGGGAACUGCAUUUGAGACUGCCCAGCUGGAGUUUGGCAGAGGGGGGUGGAAUUCCACGUGUAGCAGUGAAAUGCGUAGAGAUGUGGAGGAACACCGAUGGCGAAGGCAGCCCCCUGGGCCAAUACUGACGCUCAUGCACGAAAGCGUGGGGAGCAAACAGG
rnacentral:rRNA from 1 species